GGCUCGGUGGUGGAUGGUCCACGUCUGUAUUGAAUGACUAAGAGCCCAGGAACUCAAGCAGAAGCAGCCCGUUCGAUUCGGGCCUGAGCCA